UGCAAGUCGAGCGAUGAAAUUCCUUCGGGAAUGGAUUAGCGGCGGACGGGUGAGUAAUGCAUGAACAAUCUGCCCUGUACAAAGGAAUAGCCUCGGGAAACCGGGAUUAAUACCUCAUAACACCGUUUGUUCGCAUGGACGAACGGUCAAAGAUUUACCGGUAUGGGAUGGGCCUGCGUCUGAUUAGCUGGUUGGUGGGGUAACGGCCUACCAAGGCGACGAUCAGUAGCCGGCCUGAGAGGGUGGACGGCCACACUGGGACUGAGAACGGCCCAGACUCC
rnacentral:rRNA from 1 species